GACGAACGCUGGCGGCGUGCCUAAUACAUGCAAGUCGAACGCAGUUGGGACGGGUGAGUAACACGUGGGUAACCUCCCAUCAGAGGGGAUAACACUUGGAAACAGGUGCUAAACCGAUACUGAUGGAUGAACCCGCGGUGCAUUCGCUAGUUGGUGAGGUAACGUAUCAACAAGGCCACGAUGCAUAGCCGACCUGAGAGGGUGUUAGGCCACACUGGAACGGAGACAAGGCACAGAAUCCUACGGUAGGGAGCAGUAGGGAAUCUUCGGCAAUGGACGAAAGCUUGACCGAGCAACGCCGCGUGAGUGAAGAAGGUUUUCGGAUCUUAAAACUCUGUUGUUAGAGAAGCGGUAUCUAACCAGAAAGCAACGGCUAACUACGUGCCAGCAGCCGCGGUAAUUC
rnacentral:rRNA from 1 species